UACGGAGGAUGCGAGUGUUAUCCGGAAUCACUGGGCGUAAAGCGUCUGUAGGUUGUUUGCUAAGUCUGCUGUUAAAGCUUGAAGCUCAACUUCAAAAAAUGCAGCGGAAACUAGUAGAACUUGAGUGUGGUAGGGGUAGAGGGAAUUUCCAGUGAAGUGGUGAAAUGCGUAGAUAUUGGGAAAGACCACCAAUGGCGAAGGCACUCUACUGGGCCACUACUGACACUGAGAGACGAAAGCUAGGGGAGCAAAUGGGAUUAGAAACCCCCAGU
rnacentral:rRNA from 1 species